GUUAGAAAACAUACGCUUUAAAUUGAGAUUCAAUUCAAACUUGUUCCUAAAAAGCAAUGAGCAGAGCCCUUAAAAGUCAGAGACACAAUAACGACAACUUAUCGCCCAAGUCCCAUGUCAUAAAACCAUGAAGUACAUGGUCGUGUGCAAUUGUGCAUGGAAAAAAAAAAUUAGAAAGUGGUAUCAGAGCCGAUGAGUACUAAAAGUGACUGUUUCAUGUGGUUGAUGCAACAAGCAAUGCCGAUGUAAGCAUAUGUGAAUGAAAAAAGCUUCUGCUUGAAAGCGAGUAUACCGAGAUGAAUGGAUGAGCUCACACACAAGAGUGAAAUGAUUGU
rnacentral:lncRNA from 1 species